UUUAAGUGUAACCAUGAGUUUUCGUGCCCAACUUUGAUUGUCCGUUUUAUUUGAAAUUUUUUUAUAAUUAGUAUUUUUGUUGUUAUAAUAUGAUAAAACAUGAAUAAUACUUUAAUCGUGACUCAUGUUUUUAAAUUUUUUUCAAAAAUUUUUUAAAUAAGACGGACGAUCAAAAUUGGGUGCGGAAAACCAUUGCUAUACUUAAA
rfam:Oryza rufipogon genomic scaffold, chr03